rnacentral:piRNA from 1 species
UCCCAGGGCCUGAGAUUUGAGUGGAGUU